UGAGGAAUAUUGGUCAAUGGACGAGAGUCUGAACCAGCCAAGUAGCGUGCAGGAUGACGGCCCUCCGGGUUGUAAACUGCUUUUAGUUGGGAAUAAAAAGAUGACGUGUCAUCUAUUGUAUGUACCAUCAGAAAAAGGACCGGCUAAUUCCGUGCCAGCAGCCGCGGUAAUACGGAAGGUCCAGGCGUUAUCCGGAUUUAUUGGGUUUAAAGGGUGCGCAGGCGGGCGUCUAAGUCAGCGGUGAAAGUUCCCGGCUCAACCGGGUCAGUGUCGAUGAUACUGGGGGCCUUGAAUGCGGUCGAGGCCGGCGGAAUGUGGCGUGUAGCGGUGAAAUGCAUAGAUAUGCCACAGAACACCGAUAGCGAAGGCAGCUGGCCGGGCCUGCAUUGACGCUGAGGCACGAAAGCGUGGGGAUCGAACAGGAUUAGAUACCCUGGUAGU
rnacentral:rRNA from 1 species